CUCUCUCUGCAUCUCCUUCUCUCUCACUCCCUCUCCCCUUCUCUCUCUGUUUCCGUCUCGCUCACUCUCUCUGCCUUUCCCCCUUUCUCUCUCUCACUCUCUCUUUCUCUCACUCUCUCUCCCUCUCUUCCCCCCUCUCUCUCUCCCCCUGUCUCCCUCUCUCACUCUCCGGGGUGAACUGGAGUACCCAGCUGCCAUCUGAUAUGCUUGAGUUGUAAAGUUAAAGCCUUCAUUAUCUCGGCGGGCCGCAGAAGGUGUCACCUUCAUCGGACCUGACACACACGCUACUCAAGCCGUGGGAGCUCAGAGGCGGCGCAAAUUAAUCGUCAAGAAGAAGCCAAGGUCAACGCCGUGGCCCCACACACUCGGCCUGGUCAAGGCUGAUUGAGCCAGGAGAUCAGAAUACGACUCAUGAAGAGGUCACCAGCUGUCAGCUAGAGAAUCUGGAAGUGUCUAUGGAGGCAGAGGGGCUUAGAGAAGAUAGAGAGAGAGAGAGAGAGAGAGAGUGAGAAAGAGAGAGCGGGGCGCUACCGUUGGCCCGGCGACACCGCGGCACUCCCACCCGCUCUGGCGGGGAAGUUCAG
ensembl:lncRNA